rnacentral:rRNA from 1 species
UACAUGGGGUGCAAACGUUGCUCGGAAUUAUUGGGCGUAAAGCGCGCGUAGGCGGUUACUUAAGUCGGAUGUGAAAGCCCUCGGCUUAACUGAGGAAGUGCACCCGAAACUGGGUAGCUAGAGUACGAAAGAGGGUCGCGGAAUUCCCGGUGUAGAGGUGAAAUUCGUAGAUAUCGGGAGGAACACCGGUGGCGAAGGCGCUCUACUGGGCCAUAACUGACACUGAUGGACGAAAGCUAGGGGAGCGAAAGGG